rnacentral:lncRNA from 1 species
AAACGCUACAGCUGCAGAAGCCCAUGCUGUUACCUUCUCUCCUCAUCCGUUUUUAGUAUUUGUAAUAUUUCUGGCCCUCCCACAUCUUUGGCAAUGUUUUCUAACGUCCCUCUUCUCUUUCUUCAGUGUUUUUCAUAAGAACGGUCCUUUCAUUUCUGUUUUAUGACGUAUAGUCUUCUGAUAAUAACACGAUAAGCAUUGUGGUGGUUCUGAACAUACAACGAAAUUAGAAAAAGUGGAAUAAUAAAUAAUUCACUUGUUUUCCUUCAGCUUCAUAAGGUUUCUACUAAUCUGUUUUCCUUAUGGGCCAAACUCUUAGAGAAAUUUGAUCAGGUGCCUUUAAAAAUAUAGAAACACGUUCAGAGAACUUCAAAGAAUACAAAAAAUAAUGUAUUUCUUUUCCAAAAUAACUUCACUUUCAUCAUAAAACAUGAAAAAUGGUGAAAGAAUCAUUUCCAAAAGAAAACCUAAACUUGUCUGAUUUCAGGACACACUUUUAUCUUUAAAAAAUUUUUCCUUACUGUUGUGAAAGGAAAAGAAAAGCUCAGGACCCCAAAUUCACUAUGCCAAAAGGGAAGAGUUAAACUUGGAAGCUGAGUCAUAAAAAUAAAUAAAUAAAUAAAUAAAUAAAUAAAACAACCCAAAUCUGCCUCUCCUUUUGUUCCUAAAUUGACAGCUAAUGUCUUCAGAGGGGGCAUCCCUCACCCUGACAGUGUAAAUUAACAGUUUAUCUUCACUUCAAGGGUACAGAAGUGUAGGAAAAUGACACGGUGAAAUAGAUGGGUACUCACUGGCAGCAGUUUCAUCAAUUCUAGCUUCAAAUUGUCACCUAAUGCCAUUGUUUUAUUCUGUAACCUAUAGAUUUACUUUGUAAUGAUUGAUUCUGUAAAAUUGAAUUAUAAGGUUUAUUUUUGUUA